ensembl:lncRNA
AAUCCAUAAAAUAUGCAAUCAAUUGUGCAUGCAAUCAAGGGUCCCCAAUCGUCCACCCAGUGACAUAUACAUAUAUUCUUUUCCACUCAAAGAUAGAAAUGUUAUGUUAGACAUUAGGACCUGAUACCUACACGACGUGACAAAGAGUAAAUACUCUUACAAUUUAAAUGUCUUGGUUUAGUUUGACUUUGAAACUUAAGUAUAGCUGCAGGUGUGUCCCCCCCGCUGCCUCCUCUGAUUACCGUUAAUGACUUUAGAAGAAGUUAAACCAACAGUAACUAUAUGAAACACUAACUGCUUAACCUCACACCGCUGACUCAGUUUCUGCCUUCUGGAGAAUUUACCUGUGGGGGUCUCAGCAUGUGGGGGAUUUUGUAAUCAAAUUUGGCUCGGUUGGGAAUUUUAUGGUGUGUUUUGUGUUUUCACUUUUGAAAGAUGUGGAUGAGAUUGCUGCACUUUUUCUUACCUGUUAUCUUAUUUAAAAAAAUAUACAUCUAAAAGAACCCUGGUUUAUCCUUUUAAUUUAAAAUAAACUAAACGUUAAGGGCUUAAUACCCCCCACUUCCAUCUGCCCAUAUGCCUGUGGAAGAGCGUAAUGAGUUUACAACGUUUAAACAUUUUAGAUGUGAAGGCUGCCUACAGUAAGGGACACAACCUCAUUUUCAAGGCGCACUCUUGUUAGUAAGAAAAAUGUACUGCUGGUAGAUAAUGAGGUAAAUAUUGCUCUCACAAUCCCGUAGCGCAGCGGUUUCUCUACAAAACAUUUAUUGUUUGCCGCACUGCAUGUUAGGAGAAACUUAAUGGCCAAGUUAAACUGAAUUCUUUUUUUGUGGCUUUAAAAAAAUUGUAAAGUUAACUUUGACAACUCAAGCAAGGACACUUUUUUUUGUCAAUUACAUAAUGACAACGCAACUGUUCUUUUAAGUCAGAUGUAUCGAAUUGACCCGGGGCGAGGACGUCUUGUGUGUGUGUGAGGGUCGGUCUCGGGGAGGCGGGCGAUUGCGCCCCGUGGGACGGACGGUCUCUGCGAGUUCCGGUGCCUGCAUCUGGACGGGGCUUGGACACGUCCCACAUCUCUGACCGGGAGACAGGCUUGUCUGCCAGCCAACGUUGGCCAGCUGAGGUGGGGGGUUGCGGUUUUGGGGGUGAUUAGGGAGGUGUCAGGCCUUUACAAGGGCAAACAGGACGGCCAAGUGUCCGUGUCUCCAGCGCUUGCUUUGUCCCGUCCCGCUUGGAUAUUACUCCACAAUUUAACCCCAAGCAAGAACACAAAGGCAGAUCAUUCGCGAAUUAAUUCAUCAGUUUUGUUCUGAUGGCGGCCUCAAAUAAUUAAAUGGCCAUUUCCUAAUACUACUGUAUGUAUUUAAACCGUUGCUGCUGUGAGUCACAUGUUUACUCGUGUUCAAAGUUCUUAUCACAUUUGAACUUUUUCAAACUGCGCAUGGUGCCAAGUCAGUCUUAGUACACAGUGGGAGCAAUUAAAUGCUAUAUAACUUUUCCAAAACAAUAGCUUUUUACAUUCAGGCUUCAAAAAUGUGCUAAGAUGAGUCAGUGAAGAACCACUGUUGUCAUCAAUCAUAUUGUUUAACUUUCUCCUUCCAGCCGUCUCUUAUUUUUCUGUGUGUGUGUCUUCAGCAUGCGUAUAACAGCUAUCUGUUUUUGUUUCUUAUCUUUUUUCUUAUUGAGAAACACAAAGGCAGGGGCUCCCUGCAGAGUCCAAUAAAAGUGAUUAAAAAAGACAGCGGUGGUACGGAGACACCUCGGAGCGGCUGCAAACCUCCCAAAAAGCUGUAAUUACUUUUCCCUUCAUCUUUCCCCCUCUCACCUCCCAGACUCUGAUUACUUACCCGGGAGAAAAUCUAAUUGACACAGCAAAUUGGCAAACAGACUCUUAAGAACUUCGGCACCAAGCCAGACGAUCCUGACUAGAUAACUGGGAGAAAUGUAGCCUGGCAACUUCCAAGGCCUUUGUGGGAGGGCUUAAAAGGGGGGUUUGGAAUCUGUCUUUUCGGGCCAGUGAUUAGUCAGUAAUUACAGACUGGAAGAACAUUGGAAAGGUUAAAAACACAGAAAGAAACAGGGCGAGAGGUUAUUUGUGUAUAAUUCUCCACUUGGCCUAUUAAGGCACACACAAGACUGGAGCCACUUUUUUGUCUGUUUACUCAACUUGGCACAAGUCCGUUGCCGAAUGAGGUCCAUCUUUUAACUUCUCAUGGUGCUAGAGCUUUUGUUUUUUUGUCAUGAUUUGAGAUUAUUGAUCUUUUCUUCCAUAACUUGUUUUGUAAAUUAAACUGGAUAACGGAGGUUGUUAUCGAUGAAUCCAAGAGUUUCGAAAUUUGGUUUAUUAAAUUAGCCCAGUUUUCCUGUUUGGUAAAAUUGUCGGACCUAAAAAAGCCAGUCAUUAUUUAACCCUUUGAUUAAUUAUUAUCCCCUCAUAAUAGGCGGUUUGUUCAUUUCACUCUGAUCAGGUUAACAAAAAAGUCAAAUUCAAGGCUAUAGUUGCACAAAGCAGUCAAUAUGUGUGUUACCAAAAAAGCACUGCUCCCGUGCUUUGCUUGAACUCAGGCAAAGCUUCAUAUCUGGAUGGAUGGGUCACCAAAGCAUCCGACUUUGCUACUGGCGACAGCAUUUCAAUUUUUUGUUUUCACAUGUUUAGCAUUGUUGCCAAGGUGAUGAAGACUCCUGUACUCCGCUUAACCCAAACCACAACCGAAAUCUUUCCAUCUCCAAUCGAGUCAAACUCCAGAUGUCACCCUGCGUUACGGCUGCAUCAUCGGCCCUCCUGGAGCGUUUAACCUCUGGUUGCUCGGCCCCCCGUCCCUCUGCCUCAGUGAAAGGGGAGGGGGGGGGGCUUGUUGGGCCAGAGCCUCCCGACAUGCAAGCGAUGUAGCAGCGGGGCUCCUCGGGGGCGGUCGGCCCGGCAUCAUGACCACACCGACAGAAUGCGAGAGAGGGAGCGGAUGUCGCAGGGAGCGGAGUGUGAGUGAGGGGGGGGGAAAGGAGGCCAGACCGACUGAAAGUGCAAAUGAGACGGACAUGGAACGGGAUGCGUGGCAGUGAGAGGAAUGUGUGACAACCAGAGACUAAAGCUUGCGAGGGAGAGGAGCUAAAAAACCAAAAGCAAGGGAGAGAGGAACAAAGCACAGACGGACAGUAGUUGUGACUGCUGCGGUACCCAGCAGCCCUAGAGGCCCUCACGGACCAGUCCUACAAAUGUCAGCCCAGUCAGGACCACCCUGGGAAGCCAGCAAGACCCCCCUGGGAUCUCCAGGAAAGCAGAUAACUACUGACGUGAGAGAGCUGAGCUGCCACUCGCACAAACGCAGACACAGCACCGCCUCCUGUUCUAUACUACACGUGCACAUAUAUGGGCCGCUUGGGCCUGGAUUUGUUCAAUCCGUCCAUGCGGGUCGCAGCCUGCUGCAGCCGGAGUGCGGGCACGAGUUUGCUUCACACAUGCUAAUUCUCUGGGACUUGCAAGACUUGGUUCCUCCUCAGACUUAGACAGCCCACCACAUGGUUGAUAGGGGAUGAUAGAAAAAUGGCCUCAUUCUUUCAGUCUUUUACUAAUGCAGAGAUGAAGGAGAAAUGGGAAAAGCGUCCAGUCGGGGGAGCUCUCAGAGAGCGCGUUAAAGGAAGAGAGAGGGAGAUGGUGGAGAGAUUGAGAAGCACAGACAGAGAUGGAGAAGUACAAAACAAAAGAGAUGGGGAGAGAGAGAGAGAGAGGGAGAACAAAGCGCCCAUCUUCCUCCCCCGGGGUUGGGGACAAAGACAGAAAUUAGAGCCAAGGGGAGCGGGAGGAAGAAGAAAAAAAAAAAAAAAAAGUAGGUGAGCAGGAAAGAGCAGUCUGAUUAAUUGAGACAGAGUCAACUGACCGCAAGUCAUUAAGCUGCCACUGGGCCGAGCGCCAGUCACUAUUCAUUCUCCUCACCACUGCUCUCUGCUGCUCGGCUUUGAGCCCCGUAUCAUCCCGGCGUCCCCUCGCUGCCUCUUUCACACAUUCACCACCGCAUGGGCGUAAUUCCUUCCAGACAGGAUGGCUGUUCUCAAAAAGGAGCUUUUGUCUUCAUUAGGCAUCCACUUGGAGGGAUGUCAUUUGGGAUGGCUGCACUUGAGUGUGGGAUGACAAAUGAUUAUUGUUUUACUGCACCGAGACCAAAAAACAACGUGUUUCACUAAUCUGGAGAUAUAAAGUGGGUGGAUGCGAAAACGCAAGCUCCUUUCACACAGGAAAAAUGGGACAUUAGACUGAGAUGUGUGUGUGUGUGUGUGUGUGUGUGAGACAAAAGCAACAAGGUUGGCAGAGUUAUGAAACAGGAUUUAAGUAAUAUAUGUGCUGUAAUAGUUUUGACUCAAUGUCCUGUCCAACUGAGCUUAACUACUUUGCUAAAAGACAAUUAGCAACCAUACUAGUUUGGGGAUCUCAAUCUUAAUAAUUCUUCAUAGCGCCACUGUGACUCACUUAUCAGAACACGCUCCAGGCUGUCUAGCAUGUUUGAGGUUAGCUUGCGGAACCACAAAUGUCCACGCACCACCCAGCCAUAUAUCUCAAUCAACUUUAUUCCAGACACAAAGGUCCAUAGAGAAUACAUACACAUAAAAAAACAACAAUACAAACAACAUUUAAGAAUGAUGCAGACGAGGCAUCAUUUAUAAAAAACUUAUGCAGGCUUCGGGUCCAACGUUUCCAGAAGCACGAUGUAUACCUUGUGUCACUCUUGGAGACAUGUAAGGUCUGUCAAGACGAUGCCACAAUGAUGGUAGGCUCGUAUAGAAAGAUUGCCUCCUUUUUUGACCGCUGUGCUGUCUAAUUAGGGCAUUGGGUGCAUGGGAGGGAUUUAAAGAUGCGACUGGACCAGCCCAGUGUAGCUUUAAAACAAAACAGGGGGCCAAUAGACUAUUGACCAAUUGUUUAACAGGCCGGGCGAUUUCCUCACAUCACUUCUCAGCACAUCAACGGUCAGAUCCGUUUUGCUAAACGGAUCCUGUUCUUAUGAACGGCCACUCUAACAACUUUGGGGUUGAGCCCGAACAUGUAAUUAGUAAGACAGGAUGGUGUGCAGCCAGCAGCCAGCGUUGGGCCAUAGCUCACACUCAAUUCAGUCCAUUUGGAAAGCUUUCAAUCAGCAACUCCUCACAAGGCUAAAUUGAGCACGGUGGGGAGCCGUGCUACAUGGAAAUGAACAGCUAAUAGAAAAGUUUUGCUUUAAUUAAAGCCAGGUCCAUUUUCUGGGUCUGUUUGAGUUCAUGUGUCCCGUCCAUAUAUCUUUAUUCUGUUAAUGGACUUGAAUGCGCUUGAUCAGAAAAACCUCUGCAGUCCCGUCAGUGUAUUUCAUUUAGUUGUGACAAGCUAGUUCUCCGUCAUCUUCAUAUGAACUGACCGGUUGAAGAGGUGACUUUCAGACUUAUUAUUCUUGCUUUGGUUUGACCCGGAGAAGAAGAACGUCAAACCAGUUUGAUAGUAAACCAAACACCAGACAGGGAUACGGAAUGAUAUCACCUGGUGAUGCACUUGACUCUCCUGAGGGAAACCUAAUGAGAGGCGAUGGGUGAGAGUGUAGAUACUACUGUGGAUCCACAUGGCGGGAGCUCUGUGCAAAAGUAUAAAUCAGGCAUUAGUUUAUUUAUAGACAAACACAAUAGUGUGUUAAUCACGUUGUCAUAUUGUUUAUCACUAAAGCAAUAGAAGUGGAGUUCAGCAGCAUGGCCAGCUGCACAGGUUGCUGAUGUAGGCUGUGUUUGAAUUGAUCAUGAAGUCAAAGCUAAAAGUGCUGUUUCAGCCGGUUCGCAAAACAUCCAACUGGUUCAUGCUCGCACACUGAAACACCAAAACUAGAAAUUGCUUCCCCUCACUACUCGUUCUACAGUUUGCUUUGUGCAAAAGGACCUUUGAUUGGUCCUGAAACAGGGAUCUUUCCCUAAUUACGGACAGUUUUUUCUGUCCAUUUCUCCUCUCGGAACCUCUACAGACGGUAAAGCUCUCAGGACACAUGCUGCGGAUGAAAUCUACUUGACCUUAUUUGUGACGAGUCUGUCACCACAAUGACACAUCACUAGCGGUCAACUCGAACUCAAUGUCAGCAACGUUCAACUCAUUUUUCCCCUCCCUAACAUCAUCUAUUCUCGUACCACCACGCAGCUCUUCCCCCUCACUGCCUCCUCAGACAGAACGCAAGGCACAUUUUACACGUGGUGCAAUUGCAUUGGAAAUCAAUGGAAAUGAGACGCGUGCUGAGCUGCACUAUCCCCAUGGUCCAUCUCAGGAAAAUCUACACAAAAUAUCCAGCAGUCUAACCCGCUUUGUUUUAAGUCAAAGCACCAUUGGAUCGUCUCCUACAGAAUCACGGACACAAUUAAACCCACAGAGCUUUGUCCUUUUGGGGUUAUGUGGCAGGGUGAGAUUUCAGGCAACUCAUCACACAAGGGACAUACGAGUUGGUGCCAAGAGUGUGGUUAGGUGCUUAGCCUGGCACAUUUCUAGCCAUGCUAGCCUCAUGUUUAUCUGAGGAUUUCAGAGCUGGCAGGUCCACUAGUUUGGUCCAGACUGCAAUGUCUGCACAGCUAUUGGAGGCAUUGCCAGGAAUCGCGGGGCGCACAGAUGCAUGUUGUCCUCAGGAUAAACUGUAAACUCUUUGGUAUCCGCAGACCUUUUAUUUAUCAUCAGGUCAAACUUUCACUCAGCUCAAUACUUUUAAUUUAUAACCAAGUGCUUAUGGCAGCAGCCUCAGCUGUACUUUGUGUGGCGGUAGACAUUUUUUGACCUUCCUCUGGCUUUCAAAUUUGAUUGUAAAAUACUUCCUUGUCAAUAGCAAUCACAGAAAGCAAGCAGUAUGUGCAGGAUGGCAUCAAGAAAUGUGGAAAAGUCACAUAUCAUCUUCAAAUCAAAGAACCAGAACAGAGCUCAUCCCUGGUACACAGCGCAGUACUCCAAAUGAAAAUGUCAGGGACCUUUUUGUUCAGGUGAGCUCAGCCAAGUCCGAAUCUCAGCACAGAAGAUUACAUCAUUUGAAUGGUGUCUUCCUCCAGCGUGGCAUUUGGAUGCCCUCUUCUGAAAUGUGAAAUCAAACAGUCUCUGUUUGUAGAUGUGAGUUUUGAUUCCUUACUCCAUCCCAUCACGUGUCACGCCUGCUUGAUUAUAAAUCCCACUGCUUUUUCUCGGCGAAACCCGAGGGCGCAGCUGAUUGAGUUAGAGGAAUUUGUCUGAUUUUUCGCCAUUCUCCUGGAUUAGUCUGAGCCAUCGUGGUCAAUCAGGUCAGCGUGUGCGGACUUGUAGAACCUACUGCUUCCUCAUUGAGUGCGAGCGCCUCGCCAGCGCUCGAAUAAUACUUGUCUGGUAUUGGUCUUGGCUGGUCUUGGCUGGUCUUGGCGAAAAAAAAAGUAGUGGGAGUCAUAAUAACGUGUCACUCCAAGGUGGAGGAAGUGUCUCAUUACCUUGUUCUUCUAACUCCCAUCUAGCACCUCAGGAGUGGAUCUAGUUGCGGUCCUCUCCCACUCCGAUGAGGACAAGCUGACCCAGUUGCCUGUGAGUCACACCAGACAAGACGGUCCAACGGGGGCCGUCUAGUUUGCACAGAGGUGUGAGCCAAAUACACUUUUUUUGCAGUCACGAUGUUGCUGUUUUUCGUUGGCUCACAUGGGUAGCCAGGUGUGUUUUUUUUAAUAAAUUGCCGGCGGUGAGUUUGUUUUAUGACUUGCAGUAGAUCAGUCCCCACCCGCUGUUUCAGGAUGUUCAACCUGCAUGCAAAGGCAAUCAGGCAGACACUGAUGCAGGCAUUUUACCACAACAAGGCCUCAGCAGUUUAAACGUAUCAGUCAUCAGAUGUGUUGUCCCUCGUGUCUUUGUGUCUGCUGCGUUUUACUGCUGUUCGGUGUUAGCAUAGGGGUAGAUCUUUUUGCACACUGAAAAAGCAGAGUAGUAACGAUUAUUAGGUUUAGCAUAAUAAUCCCAAAUAACAUAUUAUAAAAAAGGGUCAGGAAAUACAUUUAGUCUUUUUCAUAGCAUGGAUGUAGUGAUUAAGACAUGGCAGUUGUAAGCAAUUGAGCUACAGUGAAAGAAAAACCUAAUUUAAGCAGACAAUGGUGACAUAACACGUUUUCCUAUUGUAUAUUACAAACUCCAGAGAGCUUUGAACAAAAAAAAAUUCUUGCUCUAGUCGCUGACUACAAAUUAGACGCACUUAUGAACACUUAAGGAAAUGUCACUAAGCACCUUGGGUCCGCGCUGGUUAUCUCUGCAGGACGGCAUUCAACAUUACAGAGGUGCAUUUAAACAUAACAACGCUCCUCUGACACGGCCUCUGUUUUACAAGAAGGAAUUUUGCAAUGGAUAAUCUCUGGAAGGAACCUUUCCCUCUGCUUUUAAUGCUCGCUCUGUUCUCUCUUAUUUUGAAAUGUACUUUGAAAAAAAUGUAUUUUGAAAUGUACCACGCCGGCACGGUGGCGUGGUGGUUAGCACUGUCGCCUCACAGCAAGAAGGUCCUGGGUUCGACUCCGCCCAGUGGCCUUUCUGUACAGGCUCUGGGGAUCAGGUUGAUUGGGGACUUUAAAUUGCCCGAAGGUGUGUGAAUGUGAGUGUGAAUGGUUGUUAGUCCUGCGAGUGGCUGGCGACCAAUCCAGGAUGUACCCUGUCUAUCGCCCGAAGUCGGCUGAGAUGUACCCCCCCCCCCCGCGACCCUGUGUGCAGGAUAAGCAGUUGACGAUGGAUGGGUGGUCCAGUGUUUUGGACAUUUUUAAUAAGUCGAGUUAUUUGUUAGGGAAAACAAAGUGUACAGUUUGUAGUCAGUAUCUUUGCCAAUUUACAAACAUUUUCUUUCCCGUGCAUUCAGGAAAAAAGUUGUGGAGACAGUGUUGGAGAACAAAGGGAAAGUUUCUUCUGUUGGGGGGGAAACUGAAGUCGCUCUGCUUGGUAUUUAUAUCAUGUUGCUUGGUGAUGACGUGCCACAUAAAACAUGCACCUCCACCUGCUCUCAUUUCACAUUCCUUCCACCUCUUUUAUCGGCUUUGAUUCCUUACUCCUUUGUGAAGCUUCAACAGUGCUUACAAGUUGAAUUUCAACAAGCAAACUAUGAUUUUUCAUUUUUCCUCUUUGCUGUUUUUCUAAUGCCUGUAUGAGUGAUAUUUCAGAACAUCCAAAGGUGAUAAUUGAAAUGCAAGAGCACUCUCUUCUCUCCUCUUCUCUCAUUACAGCACUACCAUAAGUAAUGGAGGCUGAUUCCUUUAUCUGGCCUGCUCCGAUGUACAUCCACAGCACAGCCAAAAGGGAUGACCAGCAUACCGUUCCUUAUUUUCUUUGGAUCCUUGGAUCUAGGGGGAAGACUCGUGUGCUUAGUGCUUGCGGCGAGUAGUCGGGACCCCCGGGUAGGACUACUAGCCAGCUUCCUUCUAGCAGUGAAGCUCUUCGAAAUGAAAGUGACUCCCUUUUGCUUUCACAGCCUGAGUAAAAAAAAAGAAAACUAAUCAGGAAUGAGGAGGAUGGAGCAGAGCGAGGCUGUGUCAGAGUAAUAAGUCAGUGGCAGAAUUAAGUCGGCGUUUAAACAGCAAAACAUGAAGUUUCUUCCCCUUUCAUCGUCUUGCUGCAUUUGUCACUGUGUCACUUGUUUUUUCUUCCUCCAUCUAUCUCUCCCUCGGCUGCUCAGAAUGGGUCUGUGUUCCCAUUAUGCAGCCGUUUACAGUGUUUUGGUGUAACUAAAUAGUAAACUGGAGGAGAUUUUAUCAGCACACUAGGGUAUCAUUGCCAAACAGGGCGGUGUGCUUUUUCUCACAGGAAUGUUUGAGAUAAUCAGCUCCUGGAAACGCUGACUCACUGAUCUCUGCGCACGUUUGUGUGUACGCACACUUUAGUGAAAUAUAAAGUAGAUGGUAUUUCAGAUGUUAUUUUGGUCGGUUGUCUCACAGGGAUUAACAUUCCUAAAUUAUUAGUGAGUAUGCACAAAAAUAUCAUUGUCCGUGUCGGGGUCUUCUUCUGCCACAUCCGUCUGAAGACAAUAAUAAUAUUAACUCCUAGGUCGCUGUAUGGUUCUCCCCUUUGUUUAAUCAACCCUAAAAUCGCAUGUGUUUGCAGAGAAUUAACGGACCAACGUGAUCUCCAAAACCUGUUCGUAAAAAUGUACACAAAAGUCUUGAACAUACAAAUUCGUAACAAUACAUCCAAACUGGCGGUGGUUAACCACGCCCCUUGAGUGAACAACAUGGCGCACCAUGUUGGAUUCUUGAGUGAACGUCUCUCUGCCAUGUUGGAUUUUUUGAGGGGGUUAGGGUUAGUGUUGUAUUCUUACAAGUUAACAUUCAUUUCUCGUUAAAAAUGCAAUCAUAACACGUUUAUUUUACAUGUGUGUUUACGGGGUGCAGGUCCCCAUUCACUUUGAAUAGGGUGACGUCAUCAGUUGCAGUUCGUAUUUAUUUCGUAUGUAUCACUACGAAUUUGUAUGUUCGAACAGGUUUUGGAGAUCAGGCUGAACAGACGAGAUACAGUGAGCUCAUUAGUGUUCUUUAGAGGUGCAAGUGGGCAGAUUCUGUUACCAUUAGAGCCGAGCCAGCUGUUUCUCUUGCUUCCGGUCUUUGUGCUGAACUAAGAUUGAUAAAAAACUGACAGACAACCUGACAAUAAAUCAUCAAAAAAGUGCCCAUCAUAAAAGGUGAUCUUAAAACUAGUCUUUUAGGUUGCCGGCGGUCCUUUUCGGCUGUAGUCCACGUCUCGCUGCAAUGUACUUUAUCUUUUUUGUGUUAUCCCCCCCCAGUUCAGAGCUGUAAAUCAGGCAGCAGUUAUAGCUGUCGUGGUGGUUUGUGGCUUUCUGAGCCAUGAAUGACUUUUAAUUAAGGACGUACAUUUCCACCAGACGGGCCAUUAGGGCUGGAUGCCGAAAGACAACAGAAUGAUCAUUGAGCUAAUAAAGCAUGCUCAGAAUGUCCCCAGUCUUUGAUUCAUCCAGAGGGCUCUGCCUGAACAAGUCAUCUGGUAUCAUGCCGAGUCAAUAAUGACGAUACAGCGCUGACAAAAGAGGCGGUUUUUAUUACGUUCAGUGGCCGUCUGUCCAUUCUUCUCAAAAAUGCCUUGAGGGGAUUUCAAUACUUGUACUCCCCGAUGAACAUUAGCUCUCGCCUCUCUCCGAUCUAGUCUUUGAGUCCCUGUCUGCACAUGCGGCUUGCAUGUGCAAUCAAUCCACUUGUAAAACAGUUAUUAUUUCAUCUUCUUUAUAGAUGUUGGUGCAGUCUUACUUUCCCAUUAAUUCUGCCAAAUACUACAAUACCAGAACUGUAUGUUGGCAUUUUAUUACAAAAUAAUUGGGAGAUUCGAAUUAUAUUCCCACACUACUUCACAAAUUGAAUAUGCGCCAAAUAUAUCUAUAAUUUCUAAAUGUCUAUCAUUUUUUUUCCUUACCUGAUGUGUGACUUAGUGGCGGUGUGGCCGUGCUGCUGCAACUGUGAUGAGAAAAUGUGGAAGUGGUAUGCUAUUUUAUGGCAAACUUAAUGUGUGCACCUCAAUCAAUGGAAGGCUGUCAUUUAGAGUUCCACCUUCUGAAAGAGAAAAGAAAAUCCACAACCCAUUGUACCUUUCUCGAAAGAGUUGAUUUGCGUUUCCCGCGUUGAGCCAGCAAGUGGGAGAAAUUACAGGCUGAGCCGUCGAGUGUUUUGUAUAGUCUGCUUGUAUGAAGACAUAGAUAUGCUACAUUCUUCUCGUCUCGUAUAAUCUGCUAACGAAUUCACAAAACCUUUGGCAGGACGAAUGUAAUAAAAUGCCUAAUUUUAAUCCCUGGCAGAAGUUUUCAUAGAAGGGCAUUUGUAUUAAAGUCAAAGUGCAUUCACCAUCAAAGAGGGGAUCUAUUCGCCUCUACUGCAUUUAGUUAAUACGAAUGUGGAGGAGAGGAGAUUAAGAGAAGUGGGAGAGAGGAAAAGAAUGCAGAAUAAAGAGAAACCUCUGGGGAUUAACACUUUUGUAGCCCACAGACGAGAUAACCAUUAAAAUAGUACUUUUCCUGCUGUCUUGCUGCCUCAUUAUUAGGGUCCCUAAAAUAAAUGUGUGCUGAGGAAGUUACAGCUGUCCACCUUUCUGAACUGUAAUGCAGCAGGGCUUUGAAACAAGUGCAGCUCUUCAUACGUGGAGUCCUUUUCAAAGGCGAAGCUUUAAGAUGGGAGAAUGACAUUUACUCGAUCGGACACCUGCUGACACAAAGGUCCGUAUCAAACCCACCUUGAGACUCAUUAUUGAAGCCCCUUUAAGUAGAGGUGUUGGAAUAGAGAAAGGUUCACAGACAUGAACGCUCCAUUGACGCACAAGAACUCAACAUAAUGUUUAACCAAUUAGAGCAAAUACUGCUUGUCUUUGACAAUGUGCCAGUUCUUAUUCAAGACAUCAGAAAUUUGACCAAACUUAUUUAAAAAGGGGGACUCAGAAGCUCUGCUCUCUGGAGUUCUUUGCAGGGGAAAUAAAAAAGACAGACGUCUUUGGUGAUUUUUAAGAAAACAUGGAAAAAAACUUUGAUGGCUGCUGUAGAAGAUAAAACAGACUCAAGUGAACGUGGGAGGGACAAAAUCAACACUAGCAGAGUUGAGUUUUAAACAACGUACAGUUAAAUAUGCUCAUUACUUUUUGUUUCAUCUCGCUCUCUGUAUUUGUGCUCGUCAUUUGGAGAUUUGUGUAAACUUAAAGGAAAGGGAACUUUAUCUUAACUUCCAGACUUCCAUAUGCAAAUACUUUCCCCUCACCUGUUGGACCACACACAUUAUUAUUAAAUCAUUACUCACACGUAACUUUUUCAGCAAAUUCCUGAACAAACUUUCUGAUGAGCCCUUCCAAUCGGAUCCAUCACCUCAUCCGCAGCGUCUUUCCAGCUCAAAGGCCCACAUGAUAAAUUCCCCGACCUGACUGGCUAAAAAAAAAGAAAAACCCCAGACUGAUGCCACUGGUGCUCCAUCUCCAUUAACAUGUAAUAUUGAUGCUUUGCUCCGGCUGAGAUCAAUAUACUUUGUCCCGCCUCAUUAGGCCAGGUAGAAAUGCUGUUUACUUUGCUGUGACCACAGAGGUCUGUGAUGCCGGAUAACAAUGCAGGUCUCAUGUGUCGUGUUCCAGUUCAAGGUCAGAAGGGGCGGGGGGGGCAUCACCUGGGCUUUGGAUUAACUGCCCUUUGGAGGCUUUUUGUUUGUGGGAAACAGAUGACACAUGCUUUGCCGCUUGACCUCGCGGAGGUUAUUUUGGGCCCUCGGGAUUCGACAAAACCACAUUUCAAAGCCGCGGCCGGUGGCUCCGCGUCCAAGGUUAAAUGUUCAGGAAACAACGAGGUUAAAGUGAGAUAAAGUCUCCAAUGUUUUUCCCCCCCGUUUUAACCUUGUUUGCGAUGCCCCUCAGUGACGGAACGAGGCUUGCACGUGUCUUCCAACUCAACGCCUCUCACAGAUUCUAAUAUGGACGUAUCGAUUGCUCUGCUUUACAAAUAUGAGCUGGGAAUUGCGGCGCCUCUUUCCUUGUUCUGAUCCAGAAAGUGUAAUAUGACGACCGCAAAUUGCACUUCUCACCAGACAUGCUGCGCUGGAUCAAUCGUUCUUUAAGGAUCAAGUGUUUGCCAAAUAUGAAAUAGUCUCAUAGUUGACAUUAACUUUUCUUCUCUCCUGUUUCAGUUUUUCACAUCUUUAAUUUGCUUUAAAUAUUAAACAGUUGGACUGUGAGAUUUCAACAUGGUUAUUUGAAAAGAAUACUUUAUUAAUGCCUUAUAAGCACAUCGUUCUUUGAUCAUCUUUAAAGAAAACGCCUCACACGCCGUGAGCUGAUAUGCACCCAGCAACAACACAACCGUCUUCAUUAUUCGUCUUUAUUUUGUUCUCUAAAUGAUGAAUGGAAACGUCUCCCUGACAACCUCUCUCAUCUGCUUGUGUGCCUUUUGACUGAAUAACUCAUCUAAUGUUUCCUUUCCUUUUCAUGUUUUGUUUUUCACUUAACCAAACAGCAUUAAUCACUAAAUAAUCAUUUAAAUGGUUCGUUCAAAGGGCCAGCAGCCGCUCUGGUGGUUAGCGCAAAAGCCACCACUAAAAGAAAAAGCAUCACAGACCCAUUUAUUCCCCCCAGAUGAGGUUUCAGUAAAGAGCUCUUGUCAAAUGUGUUUCUCGGCAAAAGGUUUUUGGUGAAUACUACACUGUAAUGUGUCCCCUCCUUAUGUGUUACACUCACUCCUGCAUGUGUCAGAUUACCGAGCCGCUGUUAUAACUCCGUCCGCAUACGGUGUUUUAUUAGCAUCACUGCAGCUGCAGCCCUUCUCUUGCCCCGCACACAGGUAGAUAAACAUGCACACGCACACAAACAUAUUAGAGAGACUCAACCUGCAAAUGAAUAGCCAGUAAGCUUAAUUUAGGCAGAUGUAUAUGUUUUCAUGCAUAUUUCUGGCCUGCAGGUAGGAGAGCCUGGUACCAGCAGCAGUCUGUCUCUAUGGGACAACCUCUACAAGGUCAGAGCAUCCAUCUUUCCCACCUUCACGCCCUUUUUAUCCUUUUCCAUUUCCGUUCUCUGACCCCGAACCACCAAAAAAAUUGUCUCACGUGUAAUGAAAACGUAAAGGUGAGAUGAUUAUUUGAUAUAUUUUCUGAUUGAUCUGUAUCAGUUGAUACGUGUCAGAUGCUUUAUGUUGACUUGUAAAGAUGCCACAUUUUUUAUAAUUGGAUACAUUUGUCAGUAACAAAUGCAUGAGGCGGGGAAUGAAGGUCCUCAGGUAGUUUGGCUGAGAUGGGAUAUGCCACCGGUACGUGUACAGUACAUGCUGUGUCCGUGUGCGUCUGUCAGUGAAAAUGGAAGCUGUGGAGAUCACAGAUCGGUUGUGAUGUGUCAGCCUAAAGCAUCCUCGCACUCUACGGUGCACAGUAACCUCCACUGCACAUACAGUAUAUUUUAUUUUAAUAUACCAAUAAGCUAAUGAAUAAAGUACUCACAAAAAACUGUUCAGUUUAGGGCCUUUUUGAAUGUUUGUUGGCCCUGUAGUCUAAAAUUCAUGAAGGACACAUGAUUGAUGUUUUUUGAAUGUGUUAUUCCCAAAAAUGAAAUGGUAAAAUAUGAUUUAAUUACCAACAUCCCUUUUACAGCCAGCGGGUGAGCAGUUUUUAGGUAUUCUUUCAAACUGUCUUUUCCCUUUUUGAAGUUUUAAUAUUUUGAUUAAAUGUGUAUCACGUAUCACUUAUCACAAGAAUUAUGGCGGGUUUACCAAGCACCAACAACAAAGGCCGUCGAACCAGAUAAUGGCCCUCUGCGCUUGUGUAUCAACACAAAUUAAGUUUGCCUCCUUCAUUAACCAUGACAGACAUUUUAUUGAAUUAACUGUAACACAAUUGAAUGCAUGUUAAAGUGUUCUCUGCACUUUUUAAUACCACGUGUGGGAAGUGUGAUGACUGUUGCUCACAGCGGAGCCGAUUCAUCGCAGCUUUUCUCUCCUCUGCUUGUAAGUGAAGCCUCCCGGGCACCGGCCGGUCCCUGGGGUCCUGGCAGGUUGACAGCCCACUGAUUCUUGCAGGCUUCUUCUCAACGCUGAGGCAUUUAACUGUACUUCCCGUCUCAGCCAUUACGUCCCGGCUCUCUGUGUUUCUCUCACAUAAACAGACUUGCACAAUGUCGGCAUAUGUACUGAAAAACUUAAGAAUUUAAAAGAGGAAGUAAGAUGGAAACACGGGUUGUGCAGCUUUGUAGCUCAUAUUGUGUUCUCUGCAUUUAACACACACAUAUAUUCUUUAUUUUUCUCCCAUCUUUGUCUGAUUCAGGGAAAUCCGGCCUCACAAGCUCCUCUCCUGCACAUGUUGUUCACUCCCUGAAUCCCCUGGGCGCUGAGCUGAUUAUAAUAUGCCCUGCUCGGGAAAGGAAAAACCUGAUGCAUAUCGCGCACACACACUUCUUCUUUCAUGUUUCAUUCAAAUCGCGUUCCCUUCCUUCUCUUAAUCAUACGCAUGGCCACUCGCAAUUUGUUGCCCCACGCGUCAUCCAUAGCGCCAGAAAAUUUACUUGCAAUAGCAGUUGGUUUGAUCCUUUUACUCCCAAACCCAGCUGAAGAUGACAGCUCCGGCCCGCAGUAUAUCCGGAGGUGACCUGUGUCUCCUUGUCGAAAACCUAAAGAUAGUUAGUUAUCUGAAUAAUGCAAAAAAUGUGUUGUUGUUGAGAGCACUAGUGGGUCAUUUAAUCAUUUCUCUUGAGCUCUUUUUUCUAAUUUUAAAUAAUAUUGGCCCCCUUCUGUAGGUAAGAGCACGUUGAGUGUGAAUACACCUAUUUAUGCUUUAUGUGAUGGUUAUCGAAAAUAAAAAUAAUACAGGACAGUUUAAAACUCCUCAAUGUCUGACUAGUGGUAUGAAAAUGUGUGCAGGCGGGGGAGGAUGGCGGGUGGCGAGCUAAAGGUCACAGGUCCACCGCUGUCUUGAGCUUGUGUGGGCGGCUGAACGCUGAUUCACAGCAAAUCAUCUUUUCUUCCAUCUGAUGUGAAGCGGCGGCAGGACUAAUCGAACGGCAUCUUUCAACAUUUUGUGCUGAACAAGCUUUAAAGUGGACACAUUUCUUUGCAAGGAUUAACUCAUUUGGUCUUUCCUCUUUCUCGCAAAGGGAAGCGAGAGAACAGAUUGUGAGAGUCUGCUGUUAUCCAUCAUAAAUAUGUCUGACACCACAGGGGUCCAGUUAGCGAGUUCUUUCAGCAUAUUUUUGUUGUUUUUUCGUUGCGUCAGCAUAAUACAAUGACAGACGCUCCUAAGGGUUCAUUUCUCGCAUCUCAUAAAUGUUGCAAAGGUGGUUUUUAUUUUGAGUGAUAGCAAACCUGGACUCCAGUCAGGUAUUUUAAACGCAGUUUCCCAUUUCAACACACUGCAGCUUCUGUGUCAUUAUCCGUGCACGAGUGGCUGCAGGUCUGUCGAUUUUAAUAGUGUCGCUGUUUGUGUGUUUUCCCUGGCUUGUUUGCCAUGCACCACCCUGUAUAUCCAUGCAUAAGUCAUGCACACAAGCAAACCCAUUGCAUUGCAAAUACUAACACCUUUCAGGCAAACUCGCUCUGGCCAGCUGCUACGGUUUAUUUGUAUGUUUUGACACACUGACAUUGCAUUAGGUCAAACAUAUGCUAUGCUUUUGAUCAUGUGGAGCGGAGCACCAAGAAAAGGUGAUUAAGCAAAUGCAUGUAUGUAAACUCUUAUACGUAGCACUGUUUCUUGUAGCAGUUUGUAUCCUCCUGCUGCUGAUGUUUCCUGCAAAUGAAACUAACUUCAAUAACUGCAUUUCACAAUCUUUUAAUUCCUUUCUGCCUUUAAUUAUGAGUGGCAUCACAAACUAAAACCCAGUAAUGGAUCAGACUAACUUUUCCAAUCACAUAAUACCAUUCAAAUUCAAUUCAUCACCAGGCUGGAAGAAGAAUUCAAUCAUACAACAUUUUAUUUCAUAUCAAACGCAUCAUUUCAUUUUCCCAUCAUUCUCGAGAGGCAUGGUUGCCAUGGAGUUUUCAUAUGGAUGGAACAGAGAAGUGUGAACGCCUACUGCCUCCAAGAAAUCACUGCAGAAGUGGAGUCAUAACCAAGCUGAAAAUUUGAAAUAAAACAGGAUUCUGACACAAACAAACACCCACCUUUCAAUCUACUUUCAUACACAUUCAUAUUACUGAGGUGUUUAUCUCAAAUCGAAAGUUAAGAUCUAAUUUCCGCACUUUUCUCGAGCAGUUUCUCACUUGUCCUUUUUUGUCUUUGUUGUGCAUCUCUCAAUGGGAUCAAAACCUUUUCUAUCUCCCCCUCAUUUGUACAUGAUGCAGAUAUAAGCAACCUGUGUACCCGGUGAAGAUUACCCUGAGGGCGUUGGGACAUAACUGCCCAAUUCUUCUCUGUCAAAUCAAGCAGAAUUCAUAAACAAAUACUGAUGCGCGGAGAGGCCUUUACAACUAAAUUCAAAAUAUAAAACAGUCAAUAACGUUGUCCUAACUGAAGUUGUUUUUGCCGGAUGUCACAUUUGAAUCAUUAAAUCAACUGAUGAAGGACCUCUUUUGAUGCUACUCUGACCUCUUAUUCAUUUAUCAGUGGAGUCGCAGAUUUUGUUCAUAAUCCUCUAAAAGCCGAUGAGAUGACAGUGCAGCUGUGCAAAUGCAUGUCAAAGCAGAUGUGUCUGCAUUAGACAAAGCUGCCAGAUGUGUUAUUAAAAUUGAUUAUUUCGAGAUUUGAGUCGUUUAUGUGGACAUAAACCCAAAUGCAUGAAAAAUAAUUUCAAAGCAAAACUGUGCAUCCCCUUGAAAGCUCCUCCUGCAGUGACAUCAAUGAGCUCUAGUGGGCAGAAAGGUUAAUUACGCCAGACCACCAAACUCAAUCACCUCAGCGUCUCAUCCAUCACUUCAUGACCAGACCCAACUCAGUGCCAUGGAUAACGGCCAUUAUCGGAUUCCGAGUUCAUCAACAGGUAGUAAAAAUCUCUGAAUAACAUUAUGAAUCCUCAGUGAUGCCAGCAGGGGGUUGAAACAAGUAAUGAUGAGAUAAAAAUGUUUCCAAAAUUGCUGAUGCAAAUAAGUGAGAAAGUGACACGUAUAUGAAAAAGACUAAGCACACAAGUCUCAUAUUUUCCUCCACAACAUCAGUAAUGCUCAACACAGCAUAAUCAUCAGCCAGUGGGGAAAUGUGAGAGACUCCAUAAAGUAAUUUACACUCUAAUGUCUGCUUUCCCCAAGAAAAGCAAUGGGGUGCAAUUUAAAGAUAGUAUACUCUCAUCUUUCUUAUUUUCUAAGAUAAUAACCAAGAGGCUUUAUAUUGAGUUCAAUCAACUUAUCUUUCAUUUCUUUCAGUUGAAUGAAUGGCGUGCUCAGAAUAGCAAGUCACAUCAGGCCAAGUAGUUUUCUACAUUCAAAACAGUCACUAUAAACUCAUUUAAAGUGUUUCAAUCUCAUAAUCAAUCAAUAUGCAAUCCAAAGUUUUGGCAGGGCUACACAGGCAAGCCGUUAGCAGAAGAUAGAGAUAUGCCGCUAUUUGUAGUUUUAACCAGUUUUAUUUAAACUAUAAAACGUAUAAGCAUGCAGAUCUCACCGGGACGUGACCACACAACAAAUGAAGAUUUAUUCACAGGAAUGAUUAACAGUGAAUUCUCAUCCAGAAAGUAAUAUGCAAUCUGGGUCUGGCAUAACAGCUGUAUGCUUUCAUCAUAUUCAUCUCACAAAUUUAAAAGAAAUGAGAAUAGUCACUGGCUCUCGGAAUUAUUUGAGGAAGAUCGAUUUUCAAGUUUACGUGCAUGAAAUGCGCGAUGUACCAGUCAACAUGGAGACACGGCGCAUUUCCAACUGUUUGAAAGCUUGAGAAGCCUCAUCCUUCAAACACCAAGUCUGAGACAAAGUGCUGCAAACAAAGAAAAUACUGAUUCUCCUUCUUCUCUCUUCCACCGUGUUAUCUCUCUCCUCUCCUCGAGCGACCCUUUCCUUUCCCCUCCCUCCCUCUUCCCUCCUCCCGGCCUGUGUGCUCCGUUGCCUUUUAUGACCUGUAAUCCAUGCUUAUUAAACAAGGUGCCGGUGCCAUUAAGAGUGGAAAAUGAGCCCUAAUGGCGACGCCGCUGGCAGCGCCCGCUGCCUCAAUGCCAUUUCGCACUUAUGGGCAACGCUACAUUAGCACCCUAACUCGAGUGGCCUUGCAUCGCUGCCUUCUGAAAACAUUUUCAUAAUUUAACUCUCCCUCCGCUAACCCUGUCUCCAGAUUGGUUGGGAAGGCUGUGUGGGAUUGUAGGACAGAUAAACGUUCUACCUGAAGCAUAAGGCCUCGGGGGGGGCGGGGGACAUGACGGAGGAAAAGCUGCUCUGUUAAGAUCAAGGUGGUAUUGGUGGUAGUCUGAUGGAGGAAACUGAAGGUGCACAGAGAGUUGAAGGAUCCGCAUGAUGGCAAAUUGAUUUAUUUGGCUUUGGAGGACAAAUCAUCGAGGACAAUGGAACAACUAUGAGCACAUGGAUCAUUAUAGGAAUCGCCCCGUGCCUCAUGAGAACAACAUCACUUCAUCUCUUUGGCACUGAAGGAUACGUCUCAGGGCCGUGCUCUUGGCUUAUUGAAGUCUCAACUUAAAGCUCAGGAGUUACAUUUUUUUUUUUUCAUGGCCAAAUACCUCUUAUGGUUAUGUUAAGUAGCAAAGCCCUCUGCAGGGGGGUUUCGGUCCAGUCUGUUGGGUGCAUAGAGACAACGUGUGCAUGGGUUGAAGGUCAGGAUGAGUCCAGCUUUGACUCAUCCUGACCUUGGCAGGCUUGUAAUUGCUCCUCAAUUUCAACCCUAGAUAAUAAAUGGUGUAUUUU